rnacentral:lncRNA from 1 species
AUCCUACCAGAAACUUGUAUUUGUAUUUAUUAUGGAUCCCCAUUAGUUCCUGCCAAAGCAGCAGCUACUCUUCCUGGGGUUUAUUAUGGAUCCCCAUUAGUUCCUGCCAAAGCAGCAGCUACUCUUCCUGGGGUUUAUUAUGGAUCCCCAUUAGUUCCUGCCAAGGCAGCAGCUACUCUUCCUGGAGUUUAUUAUGGAUCCCCAUUAGUUCCUGCCAAAGCAGCAGCUACUCUUCCUGGGGUUUAUUAUGGAUCCCCAUUAGUUCCUGCCAAGGCAGCAGCUACUCUUCGUGGGGUUUAUUAUGGAUCCCCAUUAGUUCCUGCCAAAGCAGCAGCUAUUCUUCCUGGGGUUUAUUAUGGAUCCCCAUUAGUUCUUGCCAAAGCAGCAGCUACUCUUCGUGGGGUUUAUUAUGGAUCCCCAUUAGUUCAUGCCAAAGCAGCAGCUACUCUUCCUGGGGUUUAUUAUGGAUCCUCAUUAGUUCCUGUCAAGGCAGCAGCUACUCUUCCUGGGGUUUAUUAUGGAUCCUCAUUAGUUCCUGCCGAGGCAGCAGCUACUCUUCGUGGGGUUUAUUAUGGAUCCCCAUUAGUUCCUGCCAAAGCAGCAGCUACUCUUCCUGGGGUUUAUUAUGGAUCCCCAUUAGUUCCUGCCAAGGCAGCAGCUACUCUUCCUGGAGUUUAUUAUGGAUCCCCAUUAGUUCAUGCCAAAGCAGCAGCUACUCUUCCUGUGGUUUAUUAUGGAUCCCCAUUAGUUCCUGCCAAGGCAGCAGCUACUCUUCCUGGGGUUUAUUAUGGAUCCCCAUUAGUUCCUGCCAAGGCAGCAGCUACUCUUCCUGGAGUUUAUUUUGGAUCCCCAUUAGUUCAUGCCAAAGCAGCAGCUACUCUUCCUGGGGUUUAUUAUGGAUCCCCAUUAGUUCCUGCCAAGGCAGCAGCUACUCUUCCUGGGGUUUAUUAUGGAUCCCCAUUAGUUCCUGCCAAAGCAGCAGCUACUCUUCCUGGGGUUUAUUAUGGAUCCCCAUUAGUUCCUGCCAAGGCAGCAGCUACUCUUCCUGGGGUUUAUUAUGGAUCCCCAUUAGUUCCUGCCAAAGCAGCAGCUACUCUUCCUGGGGUUUAUCAUGGAUCCCCAUUAGUUCCUGCCAAGGCAGCAGCUACUCUUCCUGGGGUUUAUUAUGGAUCCCCAUUAGUUCCUGCCAAGGCAGCAGCUACUCUUCCUGGGGUUUAUUAUGGAUCCCCAUUAGUUCCUGCCAAAGCAGCAGCUACUCUUCCUGGGGUUUAUUAUGGAUCCCCAUUAGUUCCUGCCAAAGCAGCAGCUACUCUUCCUGGGGUUUAUUAUGGAUCCCCAUUAGUUCCUGCCAAAGCAGCAGCUACUCUUCCUGGGGUUUAUAAUGGAUCCCCAUUAGUUCCUGCCAACGCAGCAGCUACUCUUCCUGGGGUUUAUUAUGGAUCCCCAUUAGUUCCUGCCAACGCAGCAGCUACUCUUCCUGGUGUUUAUUAUGGAUCCCCAUUAGUUCCUGCCAAGGCAGCAGCUACUCUUCCUGGGGUCUGGCAAAAUUAA